rnacentral:tRNA from 1 species
UCCUGGUUAGCUCAGUUGGUAGAGCGCUCCAAUGGAAAUGGGGAAAUCCCUGGUUCUAUACCAUGACUAGGCA